GCCCACUGAAAUUUUUAAAUGGCCGCAGUAAUUUGACUGUGCAAAGGUAGCAUAAUCAUUAGUUUUUUAAUUAAAAGCUUGUAUGAAGGGUUGGACGAAGUAAAAUCUGUCUCUAUUUAAAUUAAAUUAGAAUUUAAUUUUUAAGUUAAAAAGCUUAAAUUUUAGUAAAAGACGAGAAGACCCUAUAGAGCUUUAUAUUUUGAUUAAUAUAUUAAAUUAAGAUUUAUUUGAGUUUUAUUAAUUAAAUUAUUUUAUUGGGGUAAUAGGAAGAUUAGAUAAAUUCUUUUUUAAGAUUAACAUUUAUUUAUGAUAUUAAUGAUCCAUUUUUAGUGAUUAUAAGAUUAAGUUACCUUAGGGAUAACAGCGUAAUUUUUUUAGAGAGUUCAUAUCGAUAAAAAAGUUUGCGACCUCGAUGUUGGAUUAAAGAUUAAUUUAGGUGUAGAAGUUUAAAUUUUUGGUCUGUUCGACCAUUAAAUCUUUACAUGAUCUGAGUUCAGACCGGUGUAAGCCAGGUCGGUUUCUAUCUUUAUUACAUUUAAAUAUUUUAGUACGAAAGGACCAAAUAUUUGAUAUAUUUAUAUUAAAAAUUUUGAAUAUUAUUAUUGUUUUGGCAGAUUAGUGCAAUAAAUUUAGAAUUUAUUAAUGUAAUUAUAUUACAAAUAAUACUUGUUUUAUAUAGAUUUAUUAUUUUCUUUAAUUUGUAUAUUAUUAUUAUUAAUUUGUGUUUUAGUAGGAGUUGCUUUUUUAACUUUAUUGGAACGUAAAGUAUUAGGUUAUA
rnacentral:rRNA from 1 species